rnacentral:lncRNA from 1 species
UUUAUUAUACUCUCCGGAUUGCGAAAAACCAGAUAUUAAAGCAGACCAUGUUACUAAAUCGGGAUGUGACAAACUAUUAAAUACUUUGUAGGCCGAAUUCAUACAUCCACACCUUGAAUACAUACUUACGAGCACACUAUUUAUAUGCGCAUUAGAAUCAAACCCGUUUCUUAAACAGUAACCAUGAAUUCCCUGACCGAUUUCCAGCAAGUUAGACCGCGUAAAACCUGAUAACAACCCCACCACCGUAUACCCAUCAGGCCGGUUUCCCAUUCUCCUCAUCACAACAAACAAACGCAACCCUGUGUCCCAAUCUCCACAACUUCCAUAACCCGCGAUCAUCGCAUUAUACAAAACCAAAUCAUGUCUAUCUAACCCAUCAAACACCAUUCUAGCAUCAUCAACAAGACCCAGUUUCGAGUAACCCGACACAAGCGCACUACCAGAAACAGAAUCCAGUCCCAGACCAAAAACAACCACUUGUCCAUGCACAAACUUAACACCUUUCACAUCAUGGUUUUCAGCACAAGCGCGUAAAAUGCAAGCGAAUGUGAAACUAUCAGGCUGUGUUUCUGAGGUGAGCAUGUCUUUGAACAGCGUAAAUGCAUCGCGAAAACGAUGGGUUUGCGCAUAGGCUCUUAUUAUGGAGUUCCAGAGAUAAACGGUUCGGUUAGGCAUUUCGUCGAACAGGUUGCGUGCAGAGUAAAGAUCGUCAUUGGUUGCGUAUAAUUUGAUGGUUUUUGUUGCGUAAAAUGGGUCAUGGUAUAGACAGGUCUUGAUUAGUAAAGCGUGGAGUGAUUUUGUUCUUGUUAGGGGUUGAGUUAGUUUGGAGAGUUCGAAGAUAAGUGACUUGAAAUGAACGAACAUUAAGUUAAUUCAACGCAAACAAUGCUGCAUCUGGGUUCGAAUGAAAUUGGGGAAAUUGAUCCUUUUUCGGUGGUUUGAGAGGUGGCGUGGCAGAGGGGAGGCGGCGGUUGUUUUUGUCGGGUAAAGGUAACAGAUCCAAAAUCAGAACAGAAAACAUGAAGUAAAGUAAUAUAAGCAGUAGUUUAAUCGGAAUUCUUACAAGCAAACUGAAGCUCCUGUGGCUCGAUGCUGAGAAGGUCUCCGGUACUCAUGUCGGUUGUGUUUAAUCGUACGAGAUCGCCAACUGAAACGUCGCUGGAUACCUAGAGUUGAAAGAUGAUUGUGACCGGAAGGUUGCCGGAAAAGGUAUAUUCCGAGAAUCUAGAUAGAGAGUAGAGAGAUCUGGUUUUUGAAACGGA